CUCUCUCUCUCUCCUUCCCCUCAUGUCUCUUUCUCAUCAAUAAAUUUGUAAACAAAAAUAAAAACAAAUCUAUAAAUAAAUUAAGGACCAUAUAUACACAGAGUGUAUAUAGGAAGAGAAUCGGACAAAGAGUUGUUAGCAGGGAACAAAUCUUUCUUUAUGAUGUGUAUUCACGAGUCUCCUGUAAUGCAGAAUUUGCAAGAGAAAGCCAAUAUUUUAAUGCAGAUUAUUGCUGCUCAUCAUGAGUAGAGAUGAGAUUUGCAGCUAAGAACCCAUUUUGAUUUUCUUGAGGCUAAAAGACAAAAAGGACCCUAUGACUGACAUGGAUAUCUUCUGGAAUGCAAAGGACGAAAAACGAGUAGUCAAUCUCCUUCUCCAAACGAAAACAACAGUGAGAAUCGCUCUCUCUUUCUGGAACUAGAAUGUUUCGUUGAUGAAUUAAUCUUUGUGCUUUCACUAUUUCGAAGUGCUUUUCGGAAUUAGUCGCACAUUUUGGGUUGGGAAGAUAGGAAUCGACACGUUGCUUCUUAGGUUAACAUAGAUGGAUAUGCCUGAUAGUUUCACGAUUGAGGUAACAUAUAAGGGAGGCACAAUAUAUCUAUAUGAUGUUCAACCUGAUAGAAUGUCAUACAUUAUCCUGUUACAAAAUGUUUGCAAAGUUCAUCAUUUAAAAGAUGGGAAUGUGGAGAUCAUUUGUUCAUAACACUACACCAUAGAUAAGGAUGCUGAUGUAGAUUUGAUGUUUGAAAGAUAUAAGGAGACUACAUUUGCUCCAUUACGUUUGGAAGAUAGGAUACGUCCCAUGACUGUUAUUAUGCCACCAAUUAACAUUAGUCAAGUGACAAUACUAUGGGAGUUCAAAAUGAAAAACCAAAGGUUGUAGAGGUUCCUGAGGAUAGGGUUGGAGAGGCAAAAAGCAUCAUUGGCUCUCGAACUGAGAUGAGCAGGGACCUUGGUGGUAUGAAUGAUGUUGUUAAUGAAAAUGUUGAUGGGGGAAGUGCAAAUGGAGGGGCUAGAGGUAGAGGGUUGAAAUGUUGUUUGGUUCACAGAUAUGGGAUAAUGUUAUGGCUGAGGAGACUGAGUAUUCAUGUUAGGUGAGGGGUUUAGGCAGGGGCAAGGGAAGGGGGAGGGGGAGAGGGAGAGAAAAUGUUGAGGAAGUCAACAGGGAUAAGGGAAAUCAGAAUAGAGCAAUAUAUCUCAUAAAUUUAGGCAAAGAGUUGAACAUGAAGAUGUUGCAAAUGAUGAUUACGAGGGAGAUGAGAUGGUUGCUGAUAAUCAGUCCAUAAGUGAUGAGUAUGAGCUCUCUGGAAAUGAAGAUGACAAUAGUGAAUCUCAGCAAACUGGGGAUGUAGAAGUUGAGAAAACAAUGGUGAAUGAAGAUGAUGAUGAUGAUGCUGAUGAUCUUAGUUAUAUUGAUAGUGACAAGGAAAUCUAAGCUUCAAGUAGUGAUGGUGAAGAGGCAGCCCCUAGAAGGAAGAGAGUUAGAAGGAAAGUAAACCCCUGGAAGAGAAUUUAUGAUAACAUUUUCAAAACCCCUUAUGAAGGUGAUAAUGAAUUCAGAGUAGGGCAUGCUUUCAUGAAUGUUGAGCAUUGUGGAGAAGCUUUGAGAGAUUAUUUUAUGAGAGGAGGUACCUAGUUGGCGUGAUUAAGACUGAUAGUGAGAGUGUAACAGGUAAAUGUAAGGGUGAGGGUGUCCUUUUAGAUUUCAUAUUAGCUUGGCUCUAGACAGGGUUAUAUUUUGUUGUAAAAACAUUACAGCCUAAGCAUACUUACAUUAGGUCAAUAGGUAACAAGAAUCCAAAUGUUACAACUAAAUGGGUAAGGAAAAAGUUAGACCACAGUUAAGUGCUGAUCCAUCUAUGAGUUUUGAGUUAAUGAAAGUUGAGUUGCAGGGAAAAUGGGGUAUUGAGCCUUAAUAUUGGCAACUUCAUAAGGCAAGAACUGCUGCUAGAGAGCAAGCAGUAGAAUCACAUAUGGAGAGUUAUAAGAAGUUGCAUGAGUAUAUUGCAAAUCUUCAAAGGUCCAAUCCAAGCACCUUCAUCAAAUUCCAGCCAAUGCUAAGGAAUAGUUUGGAUGAUCCAUUAGCAUUUGGUUCCAUGUUCAUAUGCUUUGAAGAAAUGAAAGAGGGGGUUCUUAGAAGGGUGUAGACCUUUAAUAGGACUAGAUGGGUGCUUCCUUAAAGGUCCUUUUGGUGGGUGUUGCCUAAGUGUUGUUACCCUUGAUGGAAAUAAUAGUUUUUUCCUUUUACCAUUUACCAUUAUUCAAAAUGAGAGUACUAGCACUUGGACCUUCUUCCUUGACUAUCUUAGACAGUGCAUUAGCCCUGGAACUACAAAAAAGCCAUGGACAUUCAUUUCAGAUAAAUAAAAGGUAAUCUCUAACUUCUAUUUUUGGAAAAUCAAUCAUUCUUUUCGAUCUAUUAAAUCAAUCACUUACUCUGAUUCUUUGUGCAUAAGGAUUGCUUGAGGUGGUAAGGACCCAAUUUGAGAGGUCCCUUCAUAAAUAUUACUGCCAACACUUGCUUAUGAACUUUAAAAAGCAAUUUCCAGGCGUAAUGUUGAGGAAGGAGUUCUGGAUGGUAGCUAAGUUCAGCCAUGUUUAUGCAUUUAAGAACACAUAAAGAAUAUUGAGUCAAAAAAUAAAGGAAAGCCUACAAAAUGGGUAUUAGACAUUCCUUUGUCACAUUGGUGCAGACAUGCAUUCCAUGAAUCUGCUAAGAGCAUUAAUGUAACAAAUAAUAUGACAGACAGUUUCAAUAUUUGGGUAAGGAAAUUGAGAAAUAAGCCUAUAGUGGAGCUAAUAGAUAGCAUUAUAUAGAAGUGUAUGGUUAAACUUCACAAAAGGUUUGCAAGAGCUACUAGUUGGGAAGGAAGAGUCACACCAAAAUGCAAGAGUGCAUUAAACAAGAUAACUGAAGAAUUCAGGAUUUUGUAAGAUGCUCCCAAGUAACAAUGAAGAGUUUGAGGUGAGAGAGGGGCCUAUUGUUUUUGCUGUGGACUUGGGGAAAAAGACUUGCACUUGCAAUUACUGGGCAAUCUUAGGUAUGCCAUGUAAACAUGCAAGUAUUAUAGCAGGCUAUAGGAGACUGAAUCUUGAGGAUUUGUGUGAUGAAUAUUUCAUAGUAGAGAGAUAUAUGAAGGCAUACAAGGGAGUGAUUCAUCCAAUCCCAAACUACAACUUACCACAUGACACUCAAUUCCCUAUUGUGAAUCCUCCAAACCUAAAAAGAAAGCUUGGUAGACCAACGAAGAGGAGAAUCCUUCAGGAGGGUGAAGCUAUCCAAAAUACAGCAAAGAGAUCUUACACUGUUAGAUGUGUGAUAUGCAAGCACUAGGGCAUAAUAAGAGAACUUGUGAGAAGGCCCCACCAGUGAGCUCUCAGAAGCGAGCAAUUUGUCAAUAGAGGAGGCAAAAGAGCAACUAUUGCUGUUAGGAGAUGAGCUGAAUUUGCUAGUGGAUCCGCACAUAGAGGACUUGCUGCUUCUACGGCAAAAAGAGUUGUUGUUGCUGCUAAAAAUCUGCAAAUUAUGUUGCUACUAAGAUUGGAUCUACAGGUGUUUCUAGGCUUGGAGCUCCAGAUGUUGCUACUGUUAGAGGCUGUUCUUGAUUUGGUUCUGCAAUUAUUUUUUAUUUAGGAAUCUGCAUUCGUUUAUUUGUGAAUCUAUAGUUGGUUUUUUGUGAUGGUUUUUUUAAAUAUGCAGUUGAUUUUUUUAAAGCCUAUGGCAUUUUUUGUUCAUUUAAAAACAUGAAGAAGGUUGAAGAUAUGAAGAUAUAGUGAAAUAGGGGAUAUGGUAUUUAUUUUUUAUUUUGUGUAAAGCAUAUGCAUAUGAAAUCUUUUCUUAUUUGUAUCUGUCUUCCUGUUGGCAGUUAAUGUGUUACAGGAAACACUCAAGAGCAAGUGGACCAUUUUAAUCUUGAGUUCUUUUUGUAAGGCAAAUUAUUAAAAAAGGUUGAAGACCAUUUUUGUGACUAUAAAAUAUUUGAUUAAUGAGAAUGCAAUGAUUUUUAUA